rnacentral:lncRNA from 10 species
GACAUGCAGUUUCCGGGGAACAAUGCGUGCAGGCUCACAGCUGGAGGAGAAUCCGCCUCGGGAUGAAUCACACCUUGAGUCUCACCCAGCUGUGAUUUACAUGAUAUUUAAAUGAGACUUUUGGACUUAGACCGUCAAGUUGAUGCUGGAAUGACUGGAAACUUUUGGUCUGUUAGGAUGGAGUGAACCUAUUUUGCAUAUGAGGAAGACAUGAAUUUUGCAGGGCAGAAUGCUAUGGCUGGAAAGUUUGUGUCCUCUAAAAAUUCCUAUGCUGAAAUCCUAGUCCCCAAGGACUGAGUAUCAGGAGGUGGGGUCUUUGGGGAGGUGAUUAGGUCAUGGUGGCAGAGCCCUUAUGAAUGGGAUUUGUGCCCUUAAGAAAGAGGGCCAAGGGAGCUCAUGCACCCUUCCCCCACAUGAGGUCACAGUGAGAGUGUGGCAUCUGUGAACCAGAAAGCCUUGGCCAGACACAGAAUCUGCCAGCACCUCGAUGAACCAGAAAACAGGCCUUGGGCAGACACAGAAUCCACCAGCACCUCGAUGAAGCAGGAAGCAGGACUUAGCCAGACACGGGAUCCGCCAGCGCCUCGAUGAACCAGAAACCAGGCCUUAGCCAGACACGGAAUCCACUGGCACCUCGAUGAAGCAGAAAGCAGGACUUAGCCAGACACGGAAUCCACUGGCACCUCGAUGAAGCAGAAAGCAGGACUUAGCCAGACACUGGAUCCACCGGCACCUCGAUGAAGCAGGAAGCAGGACUUAGCCAGACACGGGAUCCGCCAGCGCCUCGAUGAAGCAGGAAGCAGGACUUAGCCAGACACGGAAUCCACCAGCGCCUGGAUGAACCAGAAAGCCUUAGCCAGGCACGGAAUCUGCCAGCACCUUGAUCUUGGACUUCCAGCCUCCAAAGCUGUGAGACAUAAGUGUCUGUUUUUUAUAAGACACCUGUGCUGUGGUAUUCUGUCAUAGUAACCCCAACAGACUAAGACACCUUCCUUCCCGUUCCCCUUCUCUUCCCUCCCCUUGUAGCAUGGAAGAGACAGCCAAGGGGUUGAGGACAUGAGGAAGUGAUGGAGAUUGGGAAGUCACACUGAGGCACAGGCUGGAGCCUGGCAGCUGCACAAAGGUGUGGACCCAGGGCUCUGGCUUCCUAGGACACAGGGGGUGGCAGGAGUGCAGGGGAGCCCCUCAGAAUGCAGGCCACUGGGCCCCAUUGCCAAGGGGUGUCAGGGAAGGGGCACAAAGUGAGUGGACGGAGGCCAUCAGUGCAAUAGGGAGAUCAGUAAUGUUAAGCAAACAAGUAAAUAUAUUCAGGAUGAAGGAGAUCGAGUUACUCCCUGCUGGGGAAGACAUUCACAAACACAGAAGUCUGAGAGGCUAGAAAGAAUCCUGGGGUGUUGGGUUGGAACUGAGAGUACUGGUAAGAACUCAUGGCUGUUGACUAGAUGCACAGAUAGAUACAAAGAUACUUACAGAUGAGUGUCGUGUACGGAUAAACACACACAUACUUCCCAGGCUGCCCACUGAGAGGACUCAGCGGCAUUAACACCCUGGCAGCAAUGAGCAGACCUAGUGCCUGGAUCUUGGUUUCUAAACACCAUCCUGCACUAAAAGGAAUGAUUCCAGGGCCAGGCAGGGAAAGAGUAAAAUGAGCCUGGGACAUCCUUUUGUGCCAUAAAGGACAGACUUAGUCAAUGAAUGAUAUAGGCUUGUCAAAGGGACACAGCCCGAAGGGGCUCCCAUGCCUAAAUCAGAAACCAUUUUAACAUCAAAAAUAAAUGAUUGCCCGAGCAUGGUGGCUCAUGCCUAUAAUCCCAGCACUUUGGGAAGCCGAGGCGGGUGGCUCAGUUAAGAUCAGGAGUACAAGACCAGCCUGGACAACAUGGUAAAACCCCAUCUCUAUUAAAAUAAAAAAAUUCACCGGGCGUGGUGGCAGGCGGCUGCAGUCCCAGCUACUCAGGAGGCUGAGGUAGGAGAAUCACUUGAACCUGGGAAGUGGAGGUUGCAGUGAGCCGAGAUUGUACCGUUGCACUCCAGCCUGGGUGACAGAGACUCACUCUCAAAACAAAUAAACAAACAAACAAACAAAUAAAUAAAUAAAGGUAAUUCAUGGAUUAUAGCCCUCUGAAUAAAAUAGGAACCCACAAGUUAAUAGUGUACAUGAAGGAACAAGGAAGAUGAGAAAACACAUUUGUUAAUAGUCACAUAUCAGCUAAUAAACGCAGAAGGAAUUACAGAAAUGAAGGUUUGUCCAUGGGCAACUCUCCUGGAGGCGGCUAAUUUGGGGCGGUUGUUCGAGCUGUGAGGCUGCUGGGUGGAGACUUAAAGAACAGGACAUUGGUGGAAUCCGGAACGACUCCCACAAAAGACCAAUCAAUUACAAAGGGAAAAAGGAGAUCUCAGGUGGAGAAACCUGGCCGACCCCCACAGGACCAGGGGCCAGGGCUGGCAUCCGAGAAAGAAUGAUGGCAGAGAGUGCACGUCCGCAGCACGAUGGGGCAAAGGCAGUGACCACUUCCUGGAGAGACAGAGGGGACAUGGGAGCUCUUAGUACUGCUCUGGAAACUUCUAAGUAAGUGUUGCUUAACAUUUCUUAUACAGAUUACAUAGAUAAAUGAUAGAUAGAUGAUAGAUAGAUGAUAGAUAGAUGGUAGAUAGAUAGAUAGAUAGAUAAUAGAUAGGUGAUAGAGAUAGAUGAUAGAGAUGAUAGAUAUAGACAGAUAAUAGAUAGAUGAUAGAGAUUAGAUAGAUAGAUAGAUAUAGAUAGAUAGGUAGAUAGAUAGAUAAUAGAUAGAUGGUAGAAUAACAUAACAAACACUUGUAAACUCACCACCCACAUAUGUUCUAUUUUAACAUUUUGACAUAGUUGCUUCUAAUUAUUUUAAAGACAUGAUUUGGCCGGGCGCGGUGGCUCAUGACUAUAAUCCCA